rnacentral:lncRNA from 1 species
CUCUCGCGGUGACUGUCUCGCGGCCCUGGACCGGUUGCCCCCCGGCGUGCGCGCGCGGACUGGCACGAGGGAAGCCCCGAGGGCGUCGGUGCCAAAGGCGGGAAGCCGGGCGGGAGGGGCGCAUUUUGCAAGGUUAUCUGAGUAUGAUUCUUUGACUCUCGCCCUAUUUAUUUCUUUUAAAACCUUGGGGAAAUCGGGCUCCUCCUCUCAGAAUGAGAGGACUUGGUUUUUUCGGUCACCUCAUUGCAUUUUGUGCCUCUCCUCACGUUGCUUAUCUCAUGCUGUUAUAGAUACUGAUUUUCGUAGUCUUUUUCCUCCAUACAGUCCUGAGGGCAGAAAGAAGCUUAUUUUUUGUGUGUAAUGCCUGCCCCUCGACGGACAUUCUGGCCGUGUUUGUAGCAUGGCGAAUGAUUUCUCAUCAGCCUUGGUCACUUAAAAGUCUGUGAUUCUUAGUGUUUUAUUUUGCAUUUUUUUUUUGCUUUAAUUUUUAACCAUUAGCUGAUAAAGAACUGUAUCCAUGGCUGGGUGCGGUGGUUCACGCUUGUAAUCCCAGCACUUAGGGAGGCAGAGGCGGGUGGAUCACCUGAGUUCCAGGAGUUCGAGACCAGCCUGGCCAACAUGGUGAAACCCUGUCUCUACUAAAAAUACAAAAAUCAGCCAGACAUGGUGGCGUGCGCCUGUAAUCCUAGCUACUCGGGAGGCUGAGGCAGGAGAAUCGCUUGAACCCAGGAGGCAGAGGUUGCAGUGAGUCGAGAUCACACCACUGCACUCCAGCCUGGGUGACAGAGCAAGACUGUCUAAAAAAUAAAAAUAAAAAUAAAAAACUGUAUCUGCAUUUCAGUAUCUUACAACUUUGGGUAAAUUCUGUCUGCUUAGUAAUUUCACCAAAGUCGUUUUUUGUUUUUGUUUUUUGAGACGGAGUCUUGCUCUGGCGCCCAGGCUGGAGUGCAGUGGCGCAAUCUGGGCUCAUUGCAAGCUCUGCCUUCUGGGUUCACGCCAUUCUCCUGCCUCAGCCUCCCGAGUAACUGGAACUACAGGCGCCCGCCACCACG